ACAGAGGAGCCCCAGCAGUGCUGUCUGGGACGGCCAGUGCCAACGCCCCCGCGUCGCCCCAGCACGGGCUCUCGGACGCUGCUGCCUGCGCGCAGAGCCUGGGACAGCGUGUCCGGCAGCAGGGGCUGCAUCCCAGCCCCUCUCACCCCCACAGGGACCUCGGAGGCGCUUCCUGGGGCUGCUGACACCACGCGACGGCCUCGCACCUCCUUUCUGCGCUCUGCAGCGAAGCCGGGAGCACCACGGCGCAGAGAGGCAGCGUGAGGUUUGUUUCCUCCCGGACAGAAGCCGCCCGGCUCCCUGCUCGCAGCAGGACGAUGCCUCUGCUCGCCUCCCUCCUGCCCUGUGCGGGGCCCCGCUCCUGGCUGGGGACGACCUGCCUGCGCCUGCCUGGCUCUGGGCCUCCUUGGGAGCCUGCUGGGAGCACAGCGGGGGCUCCUCACAGCUCAGCUCCGGCUCCUUAGGGCUUGGCCUCAUUACAGCAAUGGUGGUGACUGACAAGGUCGUAAAUCAAUCACUGUCACAGCUUGCAUAUUAAUAUCAUAGUUUAAUAUUCCAUACAUACUGCACAGUUAGUUUAUUAACAGUGUACAUACUCCAUACACACAUUGAAUAAAGAGUCCAAGUCUUGUACAAAGGGGGAAUAAACAGGGGAACUGGAA